UACAGAGGGGGCAAGCGUUAUUCGGAAUUACUGGGCGUAAAGGGCGCGGAGGCGGCCCUCUAAGUCGAACGUGAAAUCCCCGGGCUCAACCCGGGAACUGCGUCCGAUACUGGAAGGCUUGAAUCCGGGAGAGGGAUGCGGAAUUCCAGGUGUAGCGGUGAAAUGCGUAGAUAUCUGGAGGAACACCGGUGGCGAAGGCGGCAUCCUGGACCGGCAUUGACGCUGAGGCGCGAAAGCCAGGGGAGCAAACGGG
rnacentral:rRNA from 1 species